CCCUAUCCUUAGUUGCCAGCGAGUCAAGUCGGGAACUCUAGGGAGACUGCCGGUGACAAACCGGAGGAAGGUGGGGAUGACGUCAAGUCAUCAUGGCCCUUAUGGCUAGGGCUACACACGUGCUACAAUGGCAAGUACAAAGGGCAGCAAGACCGCGAGGUGGAGCAAAUCUCAGAAAACUUGUCGUAGUCCGGAUUGCAGUCUGCAACUCGACUGCAUGAAGUCGGAAUCGCUAGUAAUCGCAAAUCAGCAUGUUGCGGUGAAUACGUUCCCGGGCCUUGUACACACCGCCCGUCACACCAUGGGAGUGGGUUGCAAAAGAAGUCAAUAGCUUAACCGCAAGGAGGGCGUUGACCACUUUGUGAUUCAUGACUGGGUGAAGUCGUAACAAGGUAGCCGUAGGGGAACCUGCGGCUGGAUCACCUCCUUUAAA
rnacentral:rRNA from 2 species